GAUGAACGCUGGCGGCGUGCCUAAUACAUGCAAGUCGAGCGAACCACUUCGGUGGUGAGCGGCGAACGGGUGAGUAACACGUAGGUGAUCUGCCCAUCAGACGGGGACAACGAUUGGAAACGAUCGCUAAUACCGGAUAGGACGAAAGUUUAAAGGUGCUUCUGGCACCGCUGAUGGAUGAGCCUGCGGCGCAUUAGCUAGUUGGUAGGGUAAAGGCCUACCAAGGCAACGAUGCGUAGCCGACCUGAGAGGGUGAACGGCCACACUGGGACUGAGACACGGCCCAGACUCCUACGGGAGGCAGCAGUAGGGAAUCUUCGGCAAUGGGCGAAAGCCUGACCGAGCAACGCCGCGCGAAUGAUGAAGGCCUUUGGGUUGUAAAAUUCUGUUAUAAGGGAAGAACGACUUUAGUAGGAAAUGGCUAGAGUGUGACGGUACCUUAUGAGAAAGCCACGGCUAACUACGUGCCAGCAGCCGCGGUAACAC
rnacentral:rRNA from 1 species